UAGAUGGAGGUUGCAUGCAUCACAUAUGUUGAGGAGCAAAUUCAUUCAGGUUUGUGUAUUUCAGUUUAUACUGAUUCAUUUUAUUUUCAGAUCAUUGUGUAAUGUUUUCUUAACUAUAUUUUGUUUGGGUCCCAUUUUGUUUCAGAUAAAAAAGAACCCACACCAGCACACUUGUCCACCUAGAGGGGGAGGAGGGAAGGCUAAAACAAAGCUAGCAAAGACUAGGUGGGUGGCAGAUGCAAUUUUGGAUUGGUUGAGAGAAACACCAACACUUGGUCCAACAACACUUCGUGGGAAGCUAUUUGAGAAGUACAAGAUUAAUAUUACCUUACAUGAGGAUUUUCUAUGCUAAGGAAAUGGCUCUUGACAUGAUUAAUGGUCCUUGGAAUGAGAGCUUUCAGUUGCUCUACACAUUUAAAUCUGAAGUGGAAGUUGCUAGUCCAGGGAGUGUUGUAGAGAUUGACAAGCAUACUGUUACAUACAAAAUAAAAGGGAAGUCAUUUCAGAAGGAGUGCUUCAAGAGGGAUUUUUUUGUUUCAAGGCUUGUUGGCAGGGGUUUCUUGAUGGUUCCCGGCCCUAUUUGGCUGUUGAUGCAACUGCUUUGAAUGGAAGGUGGAGAGGACAACUAGUGGCAGCUUCUGUUGUUGAUGGACACAACUGGCUAUUCCCAAAUGCAUUUGGUGUGGUGGAGGCAGAGUCUGAGGAAAGUUGGGUAUGGUUUCUGUAGCAAUUGCGCAACUUUAUAGGUACACCCCUAGGUUUAGCUAUACACACAGAUGCUUGCAAGGGUUUGGAAAGUGCAGUGGAAAUUGUAUUCCCUGGAGUGGAGCAUAGGGAAUGUGUGCGACACCUAGUGCAUAAUUUCAGAAAUAAAUUCAAGGGUAAAGUUUAUGAUGAGAACUUAUGGCCAGCAUCAUACACAUGCAGUGAGAGGAAGCAUGAGCAUCAUUUGAGAGUGUUGUAUGCUCACAAUCGUCUGGUGAAGGAGUACCUAGAUGCACAUCAUGGAAAGUUGUGGUUAAGAAGCGAAUUCAAUGAAAUCUAGAAAGUAGCCUAUGUGACCAGUAACCUGGCAGAGUGUUUCAAUGCAAAGAUCAAGUCAAUGAAAGGGCUUCUAAUAUGGAAAAUAUUUGAUAAGAUUAGGCAGAUGAUCAUGAUAAAGAUGGCUCUUCGUAAAAGAAUAGCAAAAAAUGAAUAUGUUGGCCAUCUUAUGCUCCCAUCUCUUAUUAAGGCAUUGCAUGCCAAGGCAAGAGGACUGAACAAAAAAUGCAUUCCAGCGGCGACACAUGAGGCUGAGGUAACAUAUACUAAUAGUAAAAACAGGGAACGGAGAUAUCUAGUUAACCUAGAAACUAGGGAAUGCAGUUGUAGGCAAUGGCAGCUCCGUGGGAAGCCAUGCAUACAUGCACUACAUCUGAUGACUAUUAUAGGCGGCGAAGAUGGUGAAGUUGAUUAAUACAUUUCUCAAUAUUUUACUAUUGCCAAAUUCAUGGCUGCUUAUGCUUCCAAUGUUCCUGCACUCUUGGGAAAAGAUCAAUGGAACAUAGUAGAUCCAGGGUUCAAACUACAUUCUCAUGUACUGACUAGACAACCAGGAAGACCAAGGAAGAACAGGUACAUAAGAGGCGAAGAGGGUCGAGUAAAAAGACAAUGUAAGUGCCAAAAAUGUGGAACCCUAUGGCACAUUGCUAGGCUAUGUUCCAAUCCGGUGGAUGCUUUAUUUGGAGAAGUGGAACAAUGGGCAGCAACAAAUGCAGAAGAGAAUGCAACACUAGAGUAGAUUGAAGCUAAUAAAGAGGAGAAUGAAGCAGCAAAGCAGAUUGCAGGUCAUGCAGAGGAUAAUGAAGCAACUGAAUUAGCACUGCCAGCAGCUUGGUAUGUAUGCAACAACCUUCCCUUUUUUGUGCAUUUCUUCACUUUUUAUCAAUGGCUUAUAAUCUUUUUUCUGUUUGACCUAGCUCUAGGAAAAUGAGAGGAAAAGGAGAGAAAAUGCCAACAGAGAAAGAAUUUGAAGAAUAUGAAGCCAUGGCUUAUGAAGGUUUUGAACCCUGUCAACUGGCCAGUGGAAGUUCUCCGUUAGCACCUCGACAUCCACCACCUGAAGUGAAGAUCAAAAGGAAGAAGAAAAAUGUGGAUACCCACCUAGGGAAACUAGGAGCAAGGUUGUUAAGCCGUCUCGGAACACAAGGAUCAAGGAAAAGAUGUGAACUUCGAACGUUGAAUGCAAGUUGUAAACUUUAAACUUUAAGGAUUUGUACUAAGGUCUUUGUGGUCAAUUUGAACAAAUGUGAAAACUUGUAAGGUUUAAUAAUGCUAUUUGUACUUUCAUAUGAAAUUUGAGGCAAAAUUUGAAUUUGAGGUAGAAUUUGAAUUUUAGGCAAAAUUUCAAUUUGAACCAACACUUGAACUCCAUUGCCCUCUGGUGUGAUGUUGCAAUGUUUGCUGAACUAUUAUAAAUGUUAGGUGACCAAUCUGAUUUCUUUUGCGUGGUAAAACUUAUAGUCAUGGGAAAUGUACUCCAAGUGAGCUCCGAAGCUAGGGUAAACAGCCCCAUUUGUAAUCAAGUUUUUUUGGACCUACUCUAAAUGAGCCAAAUAUUUUUUUAUUAAUACCUAUUCAAUCUAUAUAGUGUAGAUUCGAAGUCUCACUAUUUAUUGAAUUAAUCUUCAUAUUUUUACACUUUUUUUAAAAAGUGUGCUUUAAUAGAAAACCAUUAAAAACACGUUUAAAAUCUGAAAAUGGAAAACUAAGUUCAUAUCCUUCUUAUUCACUUUGAAAUGAAGCUUUGGUGAUUUUUUAUUUUUUUUUAUUUUAAAAAAACCUAAACCCUACCUCCUCUCCUUGAACUCUCUGCAACGUUGUACGUGAUAGCUCAAAUGUGUGAAGGUUUUUUCAUGAAAAUGCCCAUAGAACAAGAUUAUGAUUUUUUUGUUGGUAACAUGUCACAUAAGACAACAUUGUGCGCAGGUUAUAUAUUUUUCCAAUUUUUUAAAUUAAUGGUGCUCAUUUGACCACGAUCGUGCCAGUUGUUUUUUUAAAUGUCCGUGGACCAAGUUUAGUAUUUUUCCUCGUUAGUGUGUCUUAUAAAAUGAGGAACGACGAAGGCUUCAUUUUUUGUAUUUUUUUUAAAAUUAGUUAUGCUCAGUUGAAUAUUGGUCAAACCCUAGACAACCCCGUUGGCCAAUCAAAACCCCUCUAAACCCGCGAGGUUUCGCCUAACCCUAGAUGCGAACAUCAACCGUCCGAUCAUACCCUAGCGCCAAGAGACAACCCUUAGAUAUGGUCUUCUAGAAGGAAUUCCAAGGCAAGACUGCAUGCAGGCUCCGCACUAUUGGAUCACAUGGACGGCUCUGCAUCUUGGAUCCUUGGGCGAUCCACGAGAGGCGGUCCGCGAGAGGUUGGUUGUGCUCGCCCACCAUUGCCUCACCUUUCUUCUACUUCUUCUUCUGUGGUGACCAGAGGAGCCACUCGUCUUCUUCUUCUUCUCCGGCGACUAGAUAUGUUGAGCUCCAUUUCAGCCUCCAGCCCCUUGUGGCCCUAGUACCAUGCCACCGAAAAGGUUGACUUCAAGGGAGGACAAGAAUGGCAACUUUGGGCGUGAGUUCGUGAAAUGCGAGAGCAAGCCAGAGGGGCAGGUUAGAUCUCAUGAUUUUUCUCUGAUUCUUUUCUCUUUGCUUCUAAUUAUUUUUUGUUGCAUCUAGGAUUUAGGGUUCAUAAUUUUGCUUCAGAUCGUGAAGAAAUGCACACAUUUUGAAUGGCUAUAUGACUAUGUUCGGAGGAUUCAAGGGGAGAGCUUGCUUCAAUUCAAUGGGGCCGCAACCUGGGAGCUCAAUCUAUCGUCAACCACUCAGAAUUUGGUCUCUGAAAGUGCUACUCCGACAGUUGGGGAUGCGGAUCUGAAGGGGAAUUAAAGAAGAAGAACAAGAACUUGAGGCAGUUGAUUCAAUUGAACAAGUAGGCGAAUCUGAUAGCUUUAGGAUUUUAUUUUUGUAUAGUUGCCCUAGGAUUUGCUUACUUGCUGGUCAUCACUCGUUAGAGAUGUUAUUUGUGUCGUGUCAUGUGCUCUAGGAUUUGCUUAAUGGUUUGUGGAUCAUGUGCUCUCUGUGUUGCUUACUUUGUGGAUCAUGUGCUCUUUGUGUUGCUUAAACUAUGUCUCUAUCUCCAUCUCUAAAUCUCUGUAGGUGUUAGUUUUUGACACUUUCAGUUUCUUCAGUUUCGUUAGACAACACCAAGCACAAGAUAAAAAAACAUAGUUCUUGGGCACAAAAUGGAACCAAGCUCUGGUUGGGCCGUUGCAUUACAUUGACUGUUGAAGGCCCACAAAGAUAAAAAAAGGCCUAGAAAAUAGUGCACGCGCUGGCUCUGUUUCCCCCCUGUUUUUUUGCUUGAUUGUUUUGAUUGCACCUAUAGAGAUUGAGUGCACGUUGGUUACAUUACAAAAAUAGGUUACAUCAUUUGAAAUUAUACAAGAAUUGGUAUUGCCACCAACAAGUCAACAAUUAGCAUUUUGUUUCAUGCAAUAUGGCCACCAACAAGUAAAAAUGGGCAACCCUUCAAAAUUUAUUUUUCUCAUGCCAAAUGGCCACAAACUAUUCAAAAAAUAGGUUCUUUUUGUUCAUACAAUACAGGUAUCCUACAAUAUAUAUGGGCACCAACAAUUCCGAAAAAAUUAGCUUCUUUUUCUUGUUAUUUUCAACAUCAACAUGGCUCAUUUUUCUAGCUUUAGUUUCCUUUUUGACAUCUCAACUAGUCCAUUAGCCGUUUGUGCCAAAACUUGGAACCAAUAAAAGAUAUAAGGGCCAAAAUUAUUUUCAUCACGCCAAAUGGCCACAAACUAUGCAAAAAUUAGCUUCUUUUUGUUCAUACAAUAUAUAGGGCCACCAACAAUUCAAAUUUUUUAGCUUUUUCCUUCUUAUUUUCGACAUCAACAUGACUCAUUUUUCUAGCUUUAGUUUCCUUUUUGACAUCUCAACUAGUCCAUUACCCGCACGUGCCAAAACUUGACCCUAAAAUAUUAAGGCCAAAAUACAAAUAUUACAAACAUGAAUAUAACACGCCGAAUGGGCUACCCUCCAACCAUUUUUACUCCCUUUUUACAAUGCUAACCCCAAAACUUGGAGGGAGUGACAUUUUUUCAUUUUUAGACAAUUGUUUUUUGAAAUAUCCAGCGCUUGCUGGUUUUCAUUGAGGGAUACCCUUUCAUUGGUUUAGCAGAAGGAGAGGUUAGAAAAGGGGUAUGUUGGAAGAGAGUUUACAUAGCCGUCUAGGGCUCGGCUGCGACACCAUAUCCAUCUAGCGAUAUCUCACGUCAAAUAAGGGUACAACCAAUGACAUAUAAAAGUAGCAAGCAAAACAUAGAUAACCAACGACAUAUCAAAUAAAAGUAGCAAGCAUAACAUAGUUCUUACAUAAAACAUGAUAAGGUUACUAACAUGAUAUAACACGACAGAGAUAAAAAGUUCACGGUACAACCAAUGACAUAAUUAAGAUAGAAAUAUAUAAAAAGCCUUAACACUCUAGGGAAAGAAAAGCUUCACGAGACCGAGCCUUCACCACCAUCUACACUACGCCUCCUCUUCACUGCUCCUCCUCCAUGUAAUCCUCGCCGAGGUAGUAGGGGAGGCUGUGCAUACCAUUGCGGGUGGGGAAGAUGCUACCGAAGUUCGUGAAGAUGUUGUAGGUGGUGAAUGUGAUGAACUCACACCCACACCAAAACACCUUGCCGAGGAGGUAGUAUGCAUCAAAUCCAUUGGUGAAGUUGGCGAUGAGCCCUAUCGGCGGAGUAGUGGAGUUUGGACGCACCUCCUCAAGUUGGAACAUCACUACUGCAGGAUGCUGCUAACGUGACACUACGAUCAGAGACCCUUUGACGAAACUGUGUGCGGUGCAUUAAUCACAAAUGAGGAUGUAAAACCCCCCGUCAAAAAAGGUGCAAAACGUUUGCGAUGGUAGAGCCAUCAAACACGGUUCAGAUUUUUGUUGCGUGUUGCGUGUGCGAUUCAGGGCACACGGUUAACCCGUUCGAACUGUUUGCGAUGAGGCAGAACAACAGAAACAGGCAGCCAUAUUAAUGUGUGUGUGAUAUACGGCAUACAGUUCACUUUGAUGAACAGUUUGCUAUUAGGGAGUGCAACAGAAAUAGUUAGCCAGAUCAAGGUGUGUGUGAUAUAGGGCAUACGGUUCACUCGGUCGAACUAUUUUCGGUUAGAGAACACAACAGAAACGGUUCAAAUUAACAAGUGUGUGUGACACGUGGCAAACAACCGACUCAACGGCGAGCAACCAUGUGGUCAACCUUCUGCCAUCAAUAAAUUUUGACCUUCUUUCUCGUCACAUUGCAGAUUACAACGUAAUAAGUAAUUGCAAAUCUGUUCAACCUAUCAAACUAAUAUGUGUUCACACUUAGCACUAGGCUAUAAAAACUACCCACUCGAAAAUUACUUCACAAUUCCUCUCCUCAUCACCCACAAAACUAGUCUUUCCUGUCAAGUCAUUCCGCCAUGACUGAUAGGAGGAGUUUAGGGUGGACAUAUAACCAGGCAACAAAGACCAAGGCCGCGGAAGCACUAGAGAGGUCCCUUCGCAAAGCCGCAGCCGCAGCAGAGAUGUCCUGGCGCGCCACGGAGCCCUCGAACAAGCUCUCACGGGCACGCGAGGGCUCUCACAAGCGCAUUCAUGGCGCCGGCCAAUGCGACGAGCUGGCGUUCCUAAAGUCCUUCGCUGACGAUGAUGACAUUCUCGUUGGCGUCACUACAUAGAAGGAGCUGGUCGACGGCUUGAUGAAGCUGCUCAAGAUCAGUGAUGCCUCGGUUGACAAGGCGACCGGCCUCAUCGAACAACUCAUGGGUGACAAUGCGAAGCUCCUCAAGGCGCUCGCCGAGAAGGAUGAGGAGGCCACCGGAUGGAAGAUGCUGCAUGAGCAGAGCAGUGCAUCAGGGAUGACGCUGACAGUGGUCGUCGAGGAACUGAUGGGUGACUUGAGGAAGCUCUGGAUCAAGCGCGAGCAGGAGGUGGUGGAAUCCGUGGCUGCUUUGAAGAAAAGUCAUGAGAAAUUGAAGGAGCUACAGGAUGUUGUUGCCUAGUGAUCCAUCAACGAGUAGAGACAGUAGCGACCCAGAUCGUUGUUUUCAAUUUCCUUCUUCUCUUGCCCCCGUGUCUUCCGGGCUUUGCCGCUUGUGGCAUUUUAAAUAAUCAGGAAUAUGUAAGAUAAUUAUUAUCCGCGCCAUUGUAAAUUUGUCGUUCUAUUAUCCGUUCCCAUUUUAUUUGUGGUCGUAUUAUCCGUUGCCCUAUGUGGCAAUUUAAAUUAGGGCGGAAUACAAGUUGAAAACACGAACAAAGCAAAUGCUACCAUGGGAUCACAAGCAAACACCCUCCGUCCAUGUGCUUUAAUUAACCCAAUAAUGGAGAAGUUGUGAGCGAGGCGGGCGGCGGCCGGUACAUGGAGGUCAAAGAGCUCGCUUCCCGUGAGCAUGGGUGGCCUUGCUGCUCGCACGUGUCCCGUCGAGCCAGCGAGGUAGAUAGGAUGCACGCGUCCCGUCGAGCCUGCAUGGCGGACUGCUCGCAUGCGUCCCGUCGAGCCUGCACGGCGGACUUCUCGUGGUCAUCCCGUCUAAGCAAACAACUGCAUGCACGCCAUCGAGUAUGGUUAAAUUUUGACACGGUUAAUAUAAUACAACCGUUUGCGAUAUUAACGUGUCAGCUUUUUGUUUCAAAAAGGACUUCGUUGGCUACUAAUGUGUGCACCUCUUCUCAAAUUGCAUGAUUUUUUUUACCACGGCAUAUAUGUGCCAUGUCACGAAACCAUGCCAAGCUUCAUGUUUUUUGGGUGAGUUUUGGAUUUAUUUGGAUUUAAAAACCAAGAUUCUCAAUGUUUCAGGACAACGACAAAUUUGUAGUUCAUUCCUAUUCCUUAAAUGAGACCUAAACAUGCACCCAAUGACACAUGUAUGAUUUCCCACCCAUUUUGCUUUACUGGAGCAUGUGCUUGUAGUUCAAAUUUGAAUUAUGGACUACAUUAAAUGCGUAGAUAACUUAGUAAUUAGUAAUAUAUACAAUGGCCAAACGAACCUUGGACAAUUUCAAAUUUCAGCUUGACACCCCUGUUAUUCUAUGUUGCCUAUAGAAAACAAAGUUCAAGGCGAGAAGAGGCAGUGAUUAUUGUUUUGCCCACAAGAGGGGCAUGUUUCCCUACCAGAACCACGAGGGUUGCGACAGGCUCCGGUUUGUAAGAGGCUUGUAAUAUAGCUUCGCCCAAAUUGGACAAUUUUAUGUACCAUGUAGUGAUACCAUGCCAAGUUUCAUGAUUUCCUGUUGAGUUUUGGAUUUACAGAGAUUUAAAAACCGAGAUUCAUAAUGUUUGUGGCCAAGCCAGGACGGCGAGAUGGUUGAAUUCGUUCCCAUUCGUUCCAUGGGACCUAAACAUGCACCCCAUGGAAACAUGUACAUUUUUUCUAGCCAUUUUGGUGCUCUAGAGCAUGUAUUUGUAGUUCCGAUUUGAAUUAUGGACAUUAUAUGCCUAGAAAAUUCAAUUAAUGAAUAAAAAGGUCAAACGAACCCUGAAUAAUUUCAAAGUUCAGCGUGAAUGUCCCGUUGUUCCGUGUCGCAUGUAGAAGAAAAUACGAGGCUAGAAGAGGGAGCGAUUAUUGUUUGGCCCACAAGGGGACACGUUUCCCUAUCGAAACCAUGAGGGUUCUUGCGAUAGGCUCCGUUUUGUAAGAGGUUUGUAAUAAAGCUUGGCCCAAAUUGGCAAUGUUUUUACCACGACAGAUAUGUGCCAUGGCAUGACACCAUGCCAGCUUUGAUGACUUUCUGGUGAGUUUUGAAUUUAUGGGGAUUUAAAAACCGAGUUCAAAAUGUUUGAGGACGAGCCAGGACACCGGUACGGUUGUAAUUCGUUCCCAUUCCUGGCAUGGGACCUAAACAUGCACCCAAGGACACAUGUAUAAUUUUGCUAGCCAUUUUGGUGAACUGGAGCAUGUAUUUGUAGUUCAGAUUUGAAUUAUGGACAUUAAAUGCCUAGGAAACUCAAUUAGUGUAUAAAAAGGCCAACCGAACCCUGAAUAAGUUUAAAUUCAGCACGAAUAUCAUGUCGUUCCAUGUUGCCUGUGGAAGAAAAUACAAGGCGAAAAGAGGCAGUGAUUACGUUUCUCCCACAAGGGGAACAAGUUUCCCUAUCGGAACCACGAGGCUUCUUUGAGAGAAGCACCAUUUUGUAAGAGGUUUGUAAUAAAUCUUGGCCCAAAUUCGACAAUGUUUUUACCACGACAUAUAUGUGCCAUGGCAUGACACCAUGCCACCUUUGAUGACUUUCUGGUGAGUUUAGUAUUUAUGGAAACCGAGAUUCCAAAUGUUUGAGGACGAGCGAGGACGCGGGUACGGUUGUAAUUUGUUCCCAUUCCUGGCAUGGGACCUAAACAUGCACCCAAGGACACAUGUAUAAAUUUUCUAGCCGUUUUGGUGAAUUGGUGCAUGUAUUUGAAGUUCAGAUUUGAAUUAUGGACAUUAAAUGCCUAGGAAACUCAAUUAGUGUAUAAAAAGGCCAAACAAACCCUGAAUAAGUUUAAAUUUCAGCACGGAUAUCCCGUCGUUCCAUGUUGCCCGUAGAAGAAAAUACGAGGCGAAAAGAGGCAGUGAUUACAUUUCGCCCACAAGGGGGACAUGUUUCCCUAUCGGAACCACGAGGCUUCUUUGAGAGAAGCUCCGAUUUGUAAGAGGCUUGUAAUAAAACUUGCGCCAAAAUGGACGAAAAAAUUCCUCGACAUAUAUGUUACAUGUCGUGACACCAUGCCAGGCUUCACAAUUUUUGGCUUAGUUUUGGAUUUACGGGGUUUAAAAACUGAGAUUCUUCUCACGAAAUGUUUUCAAAUAGCACACAAUUCACUCACGAAAGCCGAUAUUCAAUGAAAACAUCGUGGAAACCAUAUUUUAAAGUUUCAUAAAAAUAUGAAAAAAUGUGGGAUGUUAAGAAGGUGAUGUUUUAUUGUGACACAAAACUUCAAGUUGAAAAACAUUACGAGAUGUGAGCUAUGAAAAAGAUAAAUUCAGCCCUGGAUAGCGACAUUACUAUUCGACACUAUUCAACGCUGAUUUUAUCUUUUUCAUAGCUCACAUCUUGUAAUGUGUUUCAACUUGAAAUUUUGUGUGGCUAUAAAACAUAAUCCUCUUAACUUCCCACAUUUUUUUCAAUUUUUUUUGAAAAUUCAAAACAUCUUUUUCUCGUGGUUUUCACCGGUUUCCACCGAAUGUGAGUUUCCGUAUGAUAUUCUUCCCCCCUGCUGCGCGCGCGAUCUGAGUCCUGCGCUCUGAUUGGCCAAAACCCAAACCCCAUAGGUCGUACGUGUGCACCAUUGGAUGCUCCCAGAUUGAACGGCAACCCUAAGCCCUUUCGACAACACAUGUAGUACAUGGGUAAGCACUGUGCACAUGCGUCGUGCUAGCUCACGCUUCCUUCUCUACUAGGUUUUCAAAAUAGGCUACCGUUUCUCGCCACUCCUCUCAUCGAUUUCCCGCCUCUUCUCUUAUCGUUUUCCCACUACCAGUGUCAGUGCUCAUUGAAGUCUAGCGGCGACACACCGGCCAUGUAAAAUAUCCCACAUAGUUUCUAAAAGCACAAAUGUGUGUGAUAGGAGGGAGUAGGUCCCAUAGGGUGACCAGCGUGAAACACCUUAAUGGCAAGGAGGCAAUUCUUAUCAGUAAGGCCCGGCUUCCCAUCCACUAUCCAAGUCGAAUAGAACGCAGAAGUUAAGCAUGCUCUGGCUGGAGUAGUCCAAGGAUGGGUGACCCGGUGGGAAGUUGCAUAUCUCAAGCUUCAUUUAAAUGCCAUGACACGAUCAUUAUAGAGAUAUAUUAUAUCUCUAUAGUGACCUAUGAUGGCAAUUUGAUAAAGCUUGGGAUCCUCGUUUUGCUAAUCUGUAGACUAUGUUUUUAUGGGUUAUUUUUUGCUCUAAAAUUCAAAGAAUGAUUGACUUCACCUGUCAUGGCGAUUAUGUAAACCUACUAUGUUUUUAUGGGUUAUUUUUUCCUCUAAAAAAUUGAAGAAUGAUUGGCUUGACCUGUCAUGGCGAUUAUAUAAAACUUUUUCAGGUUGCAUGCAGGGUAUAGGGGCAGGAUGUUCUUCUCGAUCAUGUCUUCCUUGUGCGGCUUAUAGACGCGACACAUAUCUGUGGGCUCCCCGAGGUAUAUAUACUAUCCUUUACCAAAAAUUAGGGGGGCACACACAAUCUAUCCCUUUGAGCCAACAAUGAGAAGGGUUUGACCAUGAUGGUUUCCUAUUGAUACUAGUAAGGCACACGUGCAUUGCAAGCAUGAGAUUUGGUAACCAAAUUAUGAAUAAAUACCACACUACAGCAUGUAAGCUUUGAGUCAUAUAUUCAUGAUGUAGAUGUUCGUUUAAUUCUUAUAGUUCAUCUCAUCCAAAAUCAAUUAGUUUUAUAAGAAAAUCUAUUUUAAGAUUCAUGGAAUUGUGCAUUGUAAAGCAUAAAGUAAAAACAAAAAGUGACAAUUCAUUUAGAAAAAAAAGUUUGGGUAAUUAAGAUAUGGAAGAUUCUAGAGAACAAAGGAGAAGUGCUUGUGUUUUGAGGUUUGUGCAUUAUGCUUAAGUUCAACCAUGGUGUCCUCUAGAUUGUACAUGUGGCAAAAUCUGGUGGAAUGUAGGUGAAAUCCAACGGCUAGUAGUGCUCGGAUUUGCCAUCUCUAUAUUGUCGGAUUGGCUUUAUCCAAUGACCAACUUUCAAAGUUAGUCGCACACUAUAUAGGGGUAUAGAUAUAGAUAUGUCCCAUGCUAGACCAAAUAAAGUUUGAGCGCAUNNNNNNNNNNNNNNNNNNNNNNNNNNNNNNNNNNNNNNNNNNNNNNNNNNNNNNNNNNNNNNNNNNNNNNNNNNNNNNNNNNNNNNNNNNNNNNNNNNNNNNNNNNNNNNNNNNNNNNNNNNNNNNNNNNNNNNNNNNNNNNNNNNNNNNNNNNNNNNNNNNNNNNNNNNNNNNNNNNNNNNNNNNNNNNNNNNNNNNNNNNNNNNNNNNNNNNNNNNNNNNNNNNNNNNNNNNNNNNNNNNNNNNNNNNNNNNNNNNNNNNNNNNNNNNNNNNNNNNNNNNNNNNNNNNNNNNNNNNNNNNNNNNNNNNNNNNNNNNNNNNNNNNNNNNNNNNNCUCGAAGUUGGGAAACUAACAUCGUAUGUAUUGAACCAGGCUUGGAGUCGGGUACGGCGUUCGGUUUGUAAUGUAGUUGGUGGCACAUCGAAGUUGUGCAUUUGGGAUUUAAACACAUCACACACCACCGUACCUAUACAUAUUUUCGGGCCACAUGCAGUGUAUACAGGGUCUUUUGAUCGACCACGUAUCCCUUGUGCGGUUUUUUUGUGACAACACGCAUAUCCGUGGGCUCCCCGAGUUUAUAUAUAUCACCCCUUUGACCGAUAAUGAGGGGUAUGUGUUGUCCAUGAAUGGAUUCCUCCUAGUUCGUGUUAGGGACGGUCACCGUCAUAUGUCGCUCAACCAAAGCUCGAGCUCAUGCGUUGUCAGGAUUCCCUCCCACAUGCUCGGAUUGCUGGGUUCGACCUACAUCAUACCCUGCGUAUCUCGUCCUUAACUACCUUGCCUUCAUGGUUGUUGUCUGUAUCGAGAGGUAGGCACCACAUCUAAAUUGUACACUAUUCUAUAUUGAAAACACACAUCACCCCUUCCCAACAUACAUCAUUUUGGGCCGCAUGCAAGAGGUGUUGGUUUUGUGGUCCCUCUCAUGCGAUAUUUAGGAUGGUUUAAUCUAUUGGCCCAAGCGGUUUAUCAACAACAACGAUUGUCGUUUGACCAAACGAUAGAUUCAUUGGUCCGUCUUAUGGUACGUCAUGGUGACAUGCAUGUAUGACCAAAGUAUCGAUCAUUACGUGCAUCCGCCCCGCUGACACAAAGUGGGACGUGGUGGGCCAAGCAUCCUAGCUAGGUAUGACAUUAUGUCAUUAUAUACAUAUAUAUAUAUAUAUAUAUAUAUAUAUAUAUAUAAGUGCCACCAAAGUUAUGCAUUGUGUAUUUAAAGUUUUAAACAUCCCCAAUAUUCGUACAUAUAUUUGGCCACUUCCAGGUGGUUCUUGACUUCUGGCCCCUCUCAUCGAUUUUCGACGACACGCCCAACCAUGGCCCCACGCGGUCAAAGUUGUGCAUUGGAAUUUUGAACGUUACAGACCACCCUUUUCACUCAUAUAUAUUUGGGCCACAUGCUGGUGUGGCUGUUUUCUGGCCCUCUCUAACGUUAUUUUUUGCUGCAAAGACUCUGAUGACGCUCAAAGGACACGGGUAUAAUAUCUUAACCGUGUGCGAUACAAGUGCGCUGUGAAUCACCACGCCUACGCAAGAGCGAGCAAAGGUGGAGGUACUGGCUCAACCGUGUGCGAUGCAAGUGCGUUGUAAAAUCACCACGACCGCGCAUGCGCGAGCAAAGGGUGGAGGUACUGACUUAACCGUGUGCGAUGCAAGUGCACUAUAAAACCACCACCUGUGCAAGCUAAAGGUGGGUAAGUUUAUUUGGAAAUUAGGACGAACCGUGUGCGAUAGACCAGCUAGCUAGAAAUAUAAAAACAAACUACCCGCCUUGAGCGUUGCAAAAAUUGGCGGUUCCGCGCCACUUUUCCUUAUUAUCAUACACCCAUAUUGUUAUUGGACUGUGCGCGAUCUUGGGCACUCCCGCCCCGCAUCAGUUCCUUUACCCAAAUUUUAGUAGCCAUCGUACUUCAACUGUCGCCCACACUCCUUCAGCACCAACCUUAUAGUAAAAUUGCAGUAGUCGAGGCAUUUGAACCAUCGCCCUCCCUCGUCCACCACCAUCUCCACCACCAUUACUAAAAUUUUCAGUAGCCACGGCGCAUCCUCAAACACCCCCCGUCCAUAGUCCCCACCCCUCCCCCCUCGAACCCUAGCUCGCGGCCGCCCCCGGUGCCGCCGCCAACCCCUACCGGUGUGCCCAUUCCUCCUAGCUUAGAUAAUAAAGUUCAGGUUACCCAGCGAUUCCCAUACCGCCGCCCCACUCCCCUGAGUUUUUAAAUGAGGCCUGCGGUGUCCUUCCCCACCAGAUCCACAUUCCCUGCUCUAGAAUGUCGCAGCCUAAGAUCGACCACGUAUCUCAGGGAGCCCGACAAGCGUUCGGCCAAGAAGAGGUUUAUCAUGGCCUCUCCGGCGGACGUCGGCGAGGUGGCCGCCAUUCACCCUGACCUGUCAAUCCCGGAGCAACACGUCGCCAUGGAAGCCGGUGAUGACGUUGACUAUGUUGCCAUGCCGAAGGCUUCAUGUCAGCGAGCUAGCGUAUUAAUGUAUCUCGGGAAAGCUGGCUACGACAUCAAGCUCGUCCACAUCGAUGGCUUCACGCGGGCCAUGUCACAGGUUAAGUGGUCCAUCCCCAACCCCUCUGGUUCAACCGCCGUCGAUCUCUUAGACGGCCGUGCUGCUGAUCUCUUCCACCAAGCAGUCAAGGAUUUUCAAGAUUUAUACGCCAUCGAGCCUAUUUUGACAUUUCUGAAGGACACGUUCUAUGGCGGCGGAGGGCACCCACAAAGGUUCUUCCAAGGUGAAACAGCCCAUCUGUGACAUCAGAGAGUGCACCAUGGGUCUGUGCUCUUCCAACGGGAAGGAUCCCGUCCAUGAAAUGUGAGGCAACAUUCUAUCAGCAAAUCUUACCUUUUCUAGGUUGCCAACCCAUACCCUUUGUUGUAGUAGCAUUUGUCGUGCGGUGCUUUAACUGUGCCAUGUUUAAUUAUUUCAGUUAUGCAAAAAUGUAUUGUUCAAUAGGGCUAUGUGAUGUUUAAGUGUGAAUUGUCCACUUCAAUUUCAUGAAUGGCUAUAUUUGGUUGUUUAUAGUGAGUAGAUGCCUUGUUUAUUUGUAUUUGGUUGUUAGGUUGGUUGGAGUGAGCAUUUUUCCAGUUAUUAAGCAGAUGCCUUUUUUAUAUGUAUUUGGUUCUUAGUUUGGUUGCAGUGAGCAUUUGUCCAGUUAUCAAGCAGAUGCCUUGUUUAUCUGUAUUUGGUUGUUAGGUAGCUUUUUUAGCAUUUGUCCAGUUAUCAAGCAGAUGCCUUGUUUAUCUUUAUCCGCUUGUUAGGUUGGUUGCAGUGAGCAUUUGUCCAGUUUUCAAGCAUAUGCCCUGUUUAUCUGUAUUUGCUUGUUAGGUUGGUUGCAGUGAGACUCUAUCCAGUUUUCAAUGGCUAUAUUUGGUUGUUAUACUAGUCAUUUAUGCCUUGUUUAUUCCAGUCAUUCACAAUGUGUUGUUCAUUCUGUGCAAGUCGGAACUGUGCCGCUCGACUACAUCAAUACCAGUUUGAACGGCUAUAUUUGGUUCCAGUUAUUCUUGGUGUAGUUAACACAUGCCCUUUACUUCAGUUUUACACAUUUAUCCAGUGUGAUGUUCAAGCAUUACCUACGUUCUAUUCAUUUUCAACAAUACCAGUUUGAACUGCAAUAUUUGAUGGCUAUUAAGCCUGCUGUCGGUAACAUUGUCUUCCAUUUUAUAUCUGAUUUAACAGCAUACUGAAACCAACACAUUCAAGCUAUCAUUUGGAGAUGUUGUUCUUUACCUUUGCUAUAUUUGUUUGAUGUUAAGGUUGUUGUACUUAUCAUGCCUUUCCACUACUUAUGCAAGACAACAAUGGGAGUGGCCACCAUUUUCCGCCGAGGUUAGCUUCAUCCCUCGGCUUGUAGUCCCCCCGUCAUUCCAUAAUGUAGUGCAUAUAGAGUCAGGCAUGAACACUUGUUAGCUUCUAAUAUUGACUUGUUGCUUGUAGGUACAUAUGCCCUUGGCAAGGAUCCACGCAUCGACACUUUUUGCAUAUGGGGCAACGAGAUAUUCAUGAACAAGCAUCAAGUGAGGAAACUGAUAAGGAUUAUUAGCAAAAAGAUAAGAAUGGCGGCAUGCAAAUUAUUUGUUUAUGCUCUAUCCAACACAACAGUGAGCUGUAGGAUGGUAACUACAAACUCUGCAGCCUUCUCUUUUUACUACCGAUAAUGAGUUGUUAGGCAACAAUAUCUGAAUCUUUUUCGUUCACAGUGGUUCUCGAAAGAGUUCACUCAAGAUUACCUCGCAAAGUGCAUGAUUGGUGGACAUGCAAUGAAGGUUAAAGUAUUCCAUCUAGACUACAAUGAGCAUCAAGAAGUCGUAAUGAAGACAGUGAAGGAUGGACGGGCAACCAUCACAAGGGGUUCGCCUAGAGUCGUGCGUGCAUUACGCAUGGAGGAGGGCACAAUAUGGGCAUUCCGCUUCACCUUCUCCAACAACUAGAAUGUCUUUCGCCUAUUUCUUUACAGUCUUUAGUACAACUGUGGUUCAUCAUUCUUUGCUUUGUGCUUCUAUAGUUCUUCAGUAUAUGUACAUGUGCAUCGAAUUCUGCAUUCGUGGUUGAACCUAUAUUUGUAAUAAACAUGGUUGGAUAUGAAAUAAGUGAUUUCCUACUUCCAAAUUCAAAACAUGUGAUUUUUAAAUUAGGGAUUAAUUAGGGAUUACACUGCACACGGUUUGCAAAACUGAACCGUCUGUUAUAGACGCGGAGAUCAGAAACGUUUCUAGGAUCCAGUACGUGUGCGAUCAAUCUCCACUGCACACACGACAUCCUCUUGAAAACUAUUUGCGUUAGGCCACCUUGCGCAAAUGUUUACCACAUAAAACUGUGUGUGAUGGGCAACCUUUGCCACACAGUUUCUUCUACGCACUGCGUGUGAUGCAUUAAACAACGCAAACGAUAAAAUUGUUAAUAUUGUGUGCAAUGGCAACACUAUCACAAACGAUUUUACAGGAAAAAUUGUGUGUGAUGUACCCAUGAACGGAAAAGUUUUCCUUGGAGCAACUGUGUGGGAUGUACAUACGAACAGAAACGUUUAGCGGGGACUGACUGUGCGGGAUGUACUUGCGACUGAAAACAAUUUCGCCUGUAUAAUUGUAUUUUUUAGCUCUACUAUACGUAUUUCCGUAUUUGAGCUUUCGAUGUUUUCACACAACCUCAUUUUGCCGAGCGUGUCUGUGCCAGGAGGGCAUAUCCCCAACUGUUUCUGUGUCGUGUGGGAUGGACCCCCUAUCGCCGUCAUUCACUAGGUGACGGUUUCAAAUGCCGUCGUGGAAAGGGGUUAAAAACCGUUUGUAUAGCACCGACGCAUACCAGUGCAUCACCGGCGAGCCCACCGGGAGGGGGGGUGAAGCCCUCACUGAGCAACCACUAUGCAAAACCCUGUGCACCCCUCCAACAUGAGAUCUCCCACACGCGGAGUGUUGUCUCCAUGACAAUGCCAGUGGGGUACCACCUCUCCGGCACGGUCGGUGGCAGCUGGAAGGUGGGGCUGUUGUACUGCAUCCUCGCCUUGCUUCAAGUGUGCUUUGGAUUUGGGUGAAGAAGAGAAGGGGCAGCGCAAAAUGGAUGUGUGGAUAAUAGGUGGAGAGGUGGGUGGUUUAAAUAAGGGGAAUGGCACCGGCCGCGUGUCAUGGUGCUAAGUCUGACAGUAAGAGUAGGGGGUACAUAUGAAGAGGCAAGGCUCUAGCUACGGCGAGGUUGUACACACAAGUUUUACGAGUUCAGGACCCUCUCGGAGGAGGUAAAAGCCCUAUGUCUCGGUGCCCUGAGGCGGUCGACUGGAAUAGUGGUGUGUGUGUGUGUGUCACAGGGGGUGCGAAACCUUGUGCCAGAGGAGGGGGUGGCUUAUAUAGAGUGUGCUAGGACCCCAGCCAUCCACCGUUAUAGGUUUCAAUGUAACUUAAGAUAGGGCGUUACUGGUAAUGCUAGCUAGAAAGAGCUAUUAAUGAUCUUUAAGACUACAGAGUGAACGCCUGACCGUUGCCAUCCAGAGUGACUCUAGGUCUUCUGUACUCCAAGUGGUUUCUUGUAUGGUCGAGUGACUUCAUCUUGGUCGAAUGGAAUUGAGGGUAUCUGAGUGAGGUAAUUGGUCGAGUGGAUUGCACUCCAUGGUUACUUCAGUCGGUAUCUCUUGUUAUACUUUGAAUGUCCUUGAUUCUAGGGUAGUGACCUUUGGUAGGGCAUAUAGGUCGGUCCUAUGACCCUACCCUAGGUCCAUGGCAUCGUCAUUAGCCCCCGAAUGGAUUGAGGUCCGAGUGAAAAGAGAGUUGAAGUUGAUCCUGUCCUGAUUUUUAUGCUUCGUAGGCAUUCUUACUGAGUUCGGGAAUCAUGCUGAAACUUCAAAUUUAUUUCAGCCUCCUUGAUCGAUUCCGAGGUCAUCGAGUGAACUAUACUGGCAGUCUUCGAGUGCUGAUAUGGUAGGAAAUCUGUGGAGCAAUCGGUUACUCUGCGGUUGCCGGAUCUCACGGGAUUUGAAACUUUGGGGAAGCGCGCGGGACAAAGCACGCCGCAAUAAACGGGGUGGAUAGAUAGGGGUGCCUCGAUUCUCGCGGCACCUUUUUUGCCACGUUUCAGGCGCGGGACUAUUGCGGGAUUUGACAGGAUUGCUCAGGCCCAUGAGUCAGCCGAUCAGAAGUAGGCUCAUAAAAGGCGUUGAGGCCGAUGUAUUUGCACAGUGCGCAUUAUUCCCCUUCUUCUUCCUCUGCUUCUCCACUGCGUCUUCCUCCACUCUCGACGUUGCCGCCCCGUCCGUGUGCAGUUCACCGCGAUGGUUAAGGACAAGAAAGCGGCCCUGGAGUAUGAAAAGAAAGCGACGGCGAUGGUGAAGGGCAAGAAGACGAGUAAUGGGUCAUCGUCGCGGUCCGGAUUGCCUCCUGGUUGGAUCCAGGGGGACUGGAUUUGGUCCGCGAUUCGGAAAGAAGAUCUGGAGGAUCUGGCCGCCGCGGGCUUGAUUGCUGACGGGUCUUUGAGGCUGCCAGGGAACGAGAUCGAGCCUCAGCCGCAGGAGGGUGAGUGCAUCCUCCUCGCAACUCAUGUCGACCGUGGUUUCUCUCUGCCUCCGCAUCCCUUCUUCCGGGGGUUUCCUGAACUUUUUUGGUGCCCAACUUCACCAUUUUUCUCCCAACACUAUCACAUACCUUGCUGCAUAUGUUUCUCUGUGCGAAAACUUCUUGGGUUGUAGACCGCAUUGGGGUCUAUUCAAACACAUCUUUAGCUGCCGUUCCCAAUCUGUGAAGCGAAUCCGACUGACAAGAGGACGCACGUGAUCCAAAUGUGCGGGGGUUUAGGGAUUCAGAUGAGGGUUAGGAGUACUUUUCCCCCUAUGACACUUCCCGAGUCGGUUAGGGGAUGGCAAUCGACCUGGUUCUACUGCCAAGAUAUUCCGACCCCCGGUCAGUCGACCGGUCUUCCUUCGUUCACCAUGGAUUGAGUCUAGCAACCUUCUUCAUUGAUCGUGACUGCAGCAAAGAAAGUAGAGGUGUCCAUGCUAGUCGUGCGGGUAGUCCAAUUGGUCCAUGAGGGUGUGACUGGCAUGGAUUUGUUGGAGGUGUUUCUCAGUCGACGCAUCCAGCCACUCCAAGCUCGUGAUCAUCCAAUGUGGAUGUACUCGGGCACCAAUGACACCGCUCGGGUCCACCUAGAGGAGGUCCUCGAUGAGACGGUAGCACAGUGGCUACAGAGCAUCACUGGGAACAAAGACAACCCCAGGGGGUCUAGAAGGGUUGCACCAUCCGACCCUGAAAAUGAGCCGGAUAAGGUCUGAUCCUUGUUACCGAGUGUCUUUUUAUUAUGAUUUGCAAAUAUCCUUGAAUUCCGAUUGAUGCUUGUUUAACUUCUUGCCUUGCAGAUUUAUACUAAGAUGUAUGUGAUGCCAAACGGGGAGCAUGUCCAGGAGGGAGUGGAGAGCACAGACGAGAGUGCCGACUGGCAGUGAUGAGUCGGACGAUGGUGAAUAAGUCGACUCACCACCUCCACAGAACGCCGAUCCAAACAGUCUCACAACCCUGCAUGUGGGCGUAACAGGGCAGCUCCUCCAAGCACACAAGUGCAAAAACGCACUUGGACUUCGACUCUGGAACCGUCUGAGAAGGCUGCCAAGUAGCCCAAGGUCGCCCCCACAAAGCCUCGGAAGACCCUGCCCAAGAUCAAGAUGGACGUUCCGUCGCUUAUGCAUGAGUGUUUUGUCUUUCUCUAUGUUACCGUCGACUCAUUCCUCUGUUUGACCAAGUGGGUUCUGAAUCUUUUAGUGCCGCAACUUCUGGGACCUCCAUGGACAUUGACAAGGCUUAAGGUGAUGAGGAAACUGAAGACGCGACCACUUCCAAAGAGGGUAUAAUUCUACAAUCUUGUGCUUGUUUUAUCGGUUGAACUGUCGGUCGACUGAACUCUUAUGGCCGAGUCUUGUGCAGCACCACAAGAUGUCAUUGAACUUCCAGACGACGACGAAGAAGUGCCCCAGAAGAACACAGGAAGAAGGGAAGGACUUCGAGCAGGAGAGUGCCUGCCAGAAAGGUGCCUCAGUCGACAUCAGCGCCAAAAACAGUGAUCCAACAAUCCAGAGAUCCAGUUUGGGCUUAAGUUUCUUUUGCUGAUCCUGUGUCGACUGAUCGUCCUUCGGCGUUGAUCGCUCAAGUCCUUGCUCCGUCCGUGCAACUCCAUGCCACAAAUCCUCUGGCUGCUCCGACUAUUCCACCAACUCCACUCUUUGUUACCCAUCAUAACACAGAAGACCCGUCGGUGCUGCUAAGGAAGCUAUACUCCAAGAGAGCUUUAUGAUGGAUCAAAUGAAGGUGGUGCAUGAGGCUAGCAAGGCUGCCUACGACGCCAGCUCUUCUCUGCAGAUUAAUGUGAACGUCAGUUGAUUUCCGACUGAUCUUUCAGCUUGGUCUCUGUUCUGUUACUAUAUGGUAUUUGGAAACUGCUACUUUAUUAUCCGUAAGAUGUCCGUGGAUGGGUGUUUUGGAACCUUUUAUGUGCAUCUAUCAUGAGUCUGCACUUUAUAUCCAUUCACCCACUGGGUGUUUUAACUUCUGCUUAAUAGUGCUUCCAUUUGAGCCGACCAAGUCAGGUCGAGUGUAUGUUCGAACUAGUGGGGGCACACAGAGUGCACCCACUAGGUGUAGUCCCCGAGACCGUUGUCGAAUGAUUGAUUCGGCGGGAGUCUUUAUCAAAUGUCUCUUUAUAGUUCUUUCACUCGGUGAAACAGAUUGUGCCGAGUGGGAUCCAUACUAGUGGGGGCACACUGAGUGCACUCACUGGGUGUAGUCCCCGAGACCGCGGUCGACUGCGGGCAUUCGGCUGGGGUCUGAGAACCUCUCUCUCUCUCUCACACACUCUCUCUCUCUCUCUCUCUCUCUCUCUAUACUCGUGUUGGGUAGACCAUGCUGAGUGGUAAACCGGACCAGUGGGAGCACGCCAAGUGCACCCACUAGGUGUAGUCCCCGAGACUACUGUUGAAUGUUUGAUUCAGUAGUAGUCUUAGAACACUUUUUACUAUGAUUGACCUUUGUUUCUGUCGACUGACGUGUCUUAUUUGUUGAUUGUAGAAAUCUUGUGAGCUCGGGGCCCAAUUUGCUGAGUUGGAGAAGAAGCAGAUGAGUCUCAACCUCGAUCUGGAGCUGGCCCCAAGUGAAGUUCUAGAAUGAUCUCGAGUCUCUGAUGACUCGACUCAAAGAAAUCCCUAGUCAAGUGCAAGAGUGGAAGAAGUUAUCUACUCGCUAUGGCGCUGAUGUGGCUCUGUCCCUGGUCUUAGUCCAUUGCAAGGAGGUCAAAGAAUAUAAGCUCGCGGCUCUCAAGGUUGACAACACCAAGAAGCUCCAAUUCCAGUCCUUCAUGGAGACCUUCAUCGACGCUGCCACUCAUAUUGCAGACGGCAUUAACCUUGACAGCUUCGUCGAGCCAGCAAGCCCUCCUCCUACUGAGUGAACAAACUUAAUGCCUCACCUUUAUUUGCCUCGGAAUGCCGAGUGAUUUUGUAACCAUUAAACUCUUUCAGGCCUGAUGCCUGAGUACUUCUGCUCGUGGUUUUGAACUUUGCUGGUUUUACCUAAACUUGGUUUUUCCUUGAAUAUGGUUGCUUUGUCUUCACCACUUUUAGAUCUUUUAACUCCGAGUGGAGCUUGAUUUCUCACUCGAAAUAGACAUUGUAUUUGUGACACAGCUCUAAUGAUGUGCUCGAUUGGCACCUUGUCGUCCUUGUAGAUCAGGAUGGAGCGGAUGUUGUACUUGUGACGCAGCUCCGAUGACGUGCUCGAUUGGCACCUCGUCGUCCUUGUGGAUCAGGAUGGAGCGGAUGUUGUACUUGUGCUGCAGCUUAGGGGAUCUUUGUGACUUAGGCGAGAACGGGGUCACAGCUAAGCCUCCGAGUGAGAGGGUUGCUCAUCACUCGGAGUGGUUUUUAAACCUGGGCGAGUACGGGGUCGCAUCUAAGCCCCGGAGUGAGAGGAUUGCUCUCCACUCGGAAUGGUUUUUCAACUUAGGUGAGUACGGGGUCGCAACUAAGCCCCCGAGUGGGAGGAUUGCUCUCCACUCAGAAUAGAUUUUUAACUUAGGCGAGUACGGGGCCGCAUCUAAGCCUCCGAGUGGGAGGAUNNNNNNNNNNNNNNNNNNNNNNNNNNNNNNNNNNNNNNNNNNNNNNNNNNNNNNNNNNNNNNNNNNNNNNNNNNNNNNNNNNNNNNNNNNNNNNNNNNNNNNNNNNNNNNNNNNNNNNNNNNNNNNNNNNNNNNNNNNNNNNNNNNNNNNNNNNNNNNNNNNNNNNNNNNNNNNNNNNNNNNNNNNNNNNNNNNNNNNNNNNNNNNNNNNNNNNNNNNNNNNNNNNNNNNNNNNNNNNNNNNNNNNNNNNNNACUCAGAAUAGUUUUUUAACUUACGCGAGUACGGGGUCACAGCUAAGCCUCCGAGUGGGAGGGUUGCUCUCCACUCGGAAUGGUUUUUCAACUUAGGUGAGUAAGGGGUCGCAGCUAAGCCCCCGAGUGGGAGGAUUGCUCUCCACUCGGAAUAGUUUUUUAACUUAGGCGAGUACGGGUUCACAGCUAAGCCUCGGAGUGGGAGGAUUUCUCUCCACUCGGAAUGGUUUUGAAACCUAGGCGAAUCAAGUUCGCGGCUAAACCUCCGAGGGAGAGGGUUUCUCUUCACUCGGAGUGGUUUUUAAACUUAGGCGAAUCAGGUUCGCGACUAAGCGUCCGAGUGAGAGGGUUGCUCUUCACUCGGAGUGGUUUUGAAACUUAGGCGAAUCAGAUUCGCAGCUAAGCCACCCACUGGGGGAUUUGAGUGUUUAUGGGAAAAUAAUCAUUAAGAUACUGCAAAACUCUUGUCUUUGAUAAGCAAACUGAAGGAUUCUUGUUCCAACUCAUCGAUCUGAGUGGUUUAGGUAUAGAAACGGCGGAGCAGCUCCGCAUUCCACGAGCGUGGCUCAUCUUCUUUCUUGGCUACAUUGUAGAGGUGAUACGCCCCAUUGUGGUGCACCUUGGUGAUGAUGAAGGGACCUUCCCAGGCUGGAGCGAGCUUGUGAGGUCAUUUCUGAUGCACUCGGAGCACAAGGUCUCCUUCCUGGAAUGCUCGACGUCUAACAUUAUGGGCAUGGAAUCGACGCAGGUCUUGUUGGUAGAUGGUCGACCGGAUCAGAGCCAUCUCACAUUCCUCCUCUAGGAGAUCAACUGCAUCUUGGCGUGCCUGUUCUGCCUCAGCUUCUGAGAAGAGUUCCACUCGGGGACCAUUGUGCAGCAAGUCACUCGAAAGCACAGCUUCAGCACCAUACACCAUGAAGAAAGGGGUUCGGUCAAUGGAUCGGUUCGAAAUUGUUCUCAAUCCCCAUAAGACAGAUGGCAACUCAGUCACCCAGGCUCCAGCAGCGUGUUUGAGGUCGCGCAUCACUCGGGGUUUCAGCCCUUGAAGGAUCAAACCAUUCGCCCUUUCUGCUUGCCCAUUGAACUGCGGGUGCGCAAAAGAUGUGUCGGAUAUCGGGUUCCGGCAAAACCCUUAAGGUUCAAACUCUAGGGUGCACACAAAGAUCUUCUUCCUACCGAAACACGCCCAGAACCUCGCCACGAUUUUAAGCCAGCACGAUGAACAACACAAGAGACACGAGGUUUAUACUGGUUCGGGCCAUCGUUGUGGUGUAAUACCCUAAUCCAGUGUGUGGUGUGGUGGAUUGCCUCUUGGGCUGAUGAUGAACAGUAUAGAGGAAGAACAACCUCACGAGAAGAGGUGUUCUUGUUGUGGAGGGUGUUCUGCUUCGUCGGGGUUCAAUCUCUUCCUACUAUGGUGGCUAUCUCUAUAUAUAGAGGCCCUGGUCCUCCUCCCAAAUAUUGAGCGGGAAGGGGGCCAACAACGGCCAUUUUGUAAGGGGACAGCUAGUACAAGCUAUCCUGACUAAAGGUGGUCUUCGACUGCCAAAGGCACUAGCGAUGACGCCGUCUUGGGCUCCACGGUGACCUCCGUCCUGCCGCUCUGCUGGUCUUGAUCUCGUUGCACAGAUAUGGAAACCUUUGCCUGAUUCCUCGGUACUCCGCGCCUGCGCUUUCCCCCUUUGCACCAAAGAGGAAACGAGGACACUACGCAGGCUGGCGCCCGCCUGGUCUUGAUCGUCAUGGCUUGCGUCAUGAGCACCUCGCGAGGUACCCCUUGCCUUGAUCUCUCCGCCUCCUCGCGAGCCUACCUGGUGAGGCCGCCCCUGAGGAGGCCUUGUGUCGUCCGCCCCCCGAGGUUUGGCCCCUCGCGAGGGUCUUGAGUGUUUGUUGAUGAAGACGGGUCGUACUGGGCCACUGCUGAGCCACGCUGCAGGCCGCAGGCAGGCAAGUCUGGGGACCCCCGUUCCCAGAACGCCGACAGUAGCCCCCGGGCCCAAGGCGUGCUCGGACUUGGCUUAGCAGCAAAGCCAAAGGGCAAGUGCGGGGCGCCACGGGCCCCAACAGCCUACGGCCUUGGUCGACGCGUGGCGACUGAUUGGACGUGGGCGUCUCCGCUUCCCCAUGCUCCCCCGAUUCUUCCUGGCUAGGCGGCCACAAAGCUUUUACACAGUUAUUUCCUCUCCGCUGCCCACGUGCUUCCUGUUCCCCUUUCUUCCCCAAGCCUCUGUUUCCGCUUCCAAUCUGACUUGAGAUCUGCCCCUUCCCCCGCCAUGGCGUCGACUAGCAAGGAGAAGGAGAAGCCGAUGGUCAGUUAAGACGCGUUUAAAGUUCGGGUGAACACAUAUAUGAUAUAAGUACUUCGGUACAUAUAAUCGUUAUACAUAAAAUUCUUUUACCCAAGUCACUCGGGGGCUCUUAAAUUUAUGUGAGCUGUUUUAUAAUAAGUGUUCUUCUUCUUAGUUGUUGCAAAGUCUUUUUUCUAUCACUCCUUUUUUCGACGCGAGUGUGUGGUCAAUAGCUGGGGAGCCUAAUUUCUCUCUCAAAGCCGCUAAAAGUUUGCUAAACUGGCCUAACAAGAAGUACUACGCCUUCGGGAUAGGAGGUCGAAGCCGUAGGAUGACCCGCUUGAAGUCUUGAGAUAGGGUGUGUCAUGUUAAAGCACGACAGAAGCACAAUUUUUUUCUAAGACCAAUUUUCUGAUUGGCACCGAACAAUUGAAUUAGUUCGGACAUCGAGUUUUUACUGACGUUUUUGGUUUUCCAAUCCUAUGGCACUUUUCAACUAUUUGUGUGUUUUCCGCAUAAGUCUCGCAGUGCAACGCCGGACACCUUUAGAGAUUCGGCAAAAAUUCUCGGAUAUUGCUAUAUAUGCAUCAGUUUCGAAUUGUGUCUUCGGUCAAUAGUUGGGUUGCCCGGAUCCUUUGCUUGCCGCCUACGUUCCGCUUUGUUCGGCUAGGUGUGCAAAGGGAGAACCACUGCGAUUGUGCUUCCAGCUCGCAUGGUUAAGCACCUAAGUGGAGAAAGCCGAAAACUGACUGUCACAAUAAGCGUAAACUGGUCAGCGGUCCGAUGACUGUAUUAAAUGACGGGCCGUUCAUAACAUUGGCCAAAGUGUUUACGGCUUGACCUCGGCUGUCGCCGAACACUAACCGGGGGGCUACUUGCUGGCCUCCCAACUUUAAGCUCCUAUGACUAAGUGAAAGUUAUAAAUCCCGCAUAUCUGAUUGCCUCGUUUUCGCCAACACAACCUCCUUCGGGCACCGAGACGUCGGCUAAGGGUUGUUUUGUUAUUACGGAAACACCCUGCGUAGCAUCUACAAGGGGGUAGAAGCCGAUGACGGGCAACUUUCAGAUUAUAAACGGUCGCAACGGAAGUGAAAAUUUGGGUUCAUUUAGACCAUAGAGUUUGGAAGCUUUCCCCGAACUAAAUCCUCAGUAUUUUCCUCCCAUAUUGAUCGGAGCUGAGGUUUCAUGAUCAUGCUUAACAUGACAACCCAACGAAAGGAACCGAUAGCGGGACUAUUUUCUUUGGACGAUGUUUCUUAUGUUAAACAAUAAUAUAACAUGUCUCUCUGCAUACCUUUGUUUAUAAAACCGUAUGGCCGGAUUGCCUUGUUUGUCAUAAAUCUUUACCCUCAUAAAGGCUUUAUAAAGUAGGACAAACACCCCUCGGCUGCUGGCCGAGGAGGUUAAAGCCGAUGGUCGGUCAACAAAGUUUUGUACCACUACACCACGAACCCCUCUAUAGCUACGCAUACCUUCCAACGAAAUAGCCAUGUGUUGCUGGGAUUGCAGCUCCCACUUCCCACGACUAUUAAUAACUCCCUACUAUCCAUGCAAAAAAAUAACUCCCUACUACAAUUAAGGAAAUAUCAUUUUUCAAAAAUAAAAAGUAAGGGAAACAACCCACUUCCUCCCGAUAGGUAGGACACCACACACGUCGCCGCUGCCUACCUUCGUUCUAUCGUGUGAUCCCUAAUCCGGAUUCCAACAGAUCGUCUCCGUCCUCCACACUCGGCCNNNNNNNNNNNNNNNNNNNNNNNNNNNNNNNNNNNNNNNNNNNNNNNNNNNNNNNNNNNNNNNNNNNNNNNNNNNNNNNNNNNNNNNNNNNNNNNNNNNNNNNNNNNNNNNNNNNNNNNNNNNNNNNNNNNNNNNNNNNNNNNNNNNNNNNNNNNNNNNNNNNNNNNNNNNNNNNNNNNNNNNNNNNNNNNNNNNNNNNNNNNNNNNNNNNNNNNNNNNNNNNNNNNNNNNNNNNNNNNNNNNNNNNNNNNNNNNNNNNNNNNNNNNNNNNNNNNNNNNNNNNNNNNNNNNNNNNNNNNNNNNNNNNNNNNNNNNNNNNNNNNNNNNNNNNNNNNNNNNNNNCGACCGCCAGCGGCGGUUCAAGCCGGCGACUUGCCGAACCAGAUGGUGAGGAACCUUCUGGAGCAGGAGAGCCUUCAUCGGAGGCAAGACCACCUGCAGCUCCUUCACCUCCAUCCUCGUAGCCAUCGUCUGCUUGUUCGUGCUUGUCCAUCGAUUCCGCCAGUACCACAUCCUCGCCAAGGACUUCUCCAACCUCAACGCCAUGGUAAUUUUGUAUUUUCUCCCCUCUCUCUUUGCUUCCUGCCGGUUCACUCGAUCGGCCCAGGUUGUUGGUAUUUGCGAGACAAGCAGAAUCUCAUGAUGGCUAUUAGAAAUUUAGAAUGGAGACUUGCAAUUCUGGGUGUUUUUGUAGGUAUGCGGUACUACUUUCUGAUUUGUGGCUGGUUGAUGGAACCUGUAUAUUCCCAAUCCUUUGGAAUAGAGAUUCUACUUGUGCUUAGUAAUGGAUUUCAUAUUAUACCUUGGAAGGUGACAACGGAAGAUAAGUUCUGUGACUUGUACGUUCUGCUAAUGACCGACUUUCAGUAAAAAUUAAGGUGUCUGCCUUGUAGAAAAAAUUACCAAUCAUCUAGCAGUUUCCUUUAAGUAUUAUAGUAUUCCUGAUCCACCGUUGUGGUUGUUGGCUUGCACCUUUGUGUAUGUACACGCUAACAGCCGGCUGGCCGCAGCUAAUUACUCAUUAGCCAAUAUGUUAAUGAACUAUCACGAAAUUAGAGAAUCCCAAAGCAAGCAGGCAAUAGCCCAUGUACGGUCAUGGCUGGCUUAUUUUGUUAUUUUGAUGGAUGAAUCGAUCAAAUCGUAACCUGUGUAUGUGCAUGUUCUGCACUUUCACCGGCUGGAUGUAGUAACUUUGGUUCAGAUUUGAUUGUCGCCAUCAUACUAGAGCAUAGUAGCAGCUGGUGCUAGCAGCCGAACGCAUGAGCACUUGGUGCAGCGCCGCAACAUUCGUCUUCACAACAGUGUGUUCGCCGCGCGCCGUCUUCCAUGACGCAUUGAUCCUCGGAGUCUUUGAACUUGGCAUCACAACUCAUGUAAGUCAACCUUAAACUUAAGGUAUAUAAUUACAACUUAAUAUUGUUGUUAGAAAUUUUGAAGAUUGCUGGUCAGUGUUUUUGUUCGAUCUACAUAAAUGUGCUUGCAAGUGCUUAUGAAAUGAAUCCAUCAUUGUUUACAGGGCAAAAAAUUCUUACAUAUUCAUCUUUGGGAAAAAGUUCAGGGCAUAUAUAGCGGGUUACUUCUGUAGAAGGAGGUACGCCUGCAUGAAUAAUGUUGGCUUGUAAAGCUGUAGCUUAUUUAAGUGACAUCUUCUGCAGUGUAACUAAAAAAAUCAUGUUGAAAAGAUUUUGUAUUCACUCAGAUAUAUUACUAUUAUUGUCAAUCAUAUGUAUAUAAAUCAAAAUCACUAGAAAACACACUUGUUAACAUUUAAUACAGCCAGCUUUGUGCGAAUUAUUUUCUAUCAACUUCAAGUAUUUCUGGAAUUUUUUCAAUCUCUGCAUUUAUAUAUGCACUGUUUUGGUAACUACAGAUCUGUGUUUGUAAUGAAGCAUGCUCUAUUUGUCGGCGCACAUAUUUUCUGGGCAUUUACCUCACUGUAUCUUCAUUAUAUUCUUUGUAAGGUGUUUAUUAAUUUAAUUAACAUAUGAAUGGUCUGUUCAUAAGGCUCUCUUUUCUCUGUAUACAGAGUUGAGUGCUAUGGCCGGGACUGUAAAAAAGUGGUCAAAUUAUGAUAUAUCAAAGCCCUUCACACGUGAUGACGUAUGUUGGAUGAUGGAAUGAUUAUUCUGUUCAGUGCUUGCUUUGACUUGGGUGUUCAGAGAAGUAAAACUUCAACUAUCAUGUUUAGUGAAGCAACAUAUUGUAUCUGAAGUGAAACUUUUUGUUUGAUACGAAGAUAUGAGCAUCAAACUAACAUCGAUCUAAAGAUAAGGUAUGCUCAUUUCUCUACUGUUUGGAAUUCAACAUGGUUGAGCAACAAUCUAUUAUUGAUCAUUCCUUUUGCAAUAUGAAUGCUCAUUUUAGUUCCUGCUUAGCUUUAGGAAAUCUAAACAAGAGUGUUGCUCUUGCUACACUCCAAAGUACCGAUCUAGAAUAUAAAACAAAAAUUGUGGGUGUUGAACUUGUUAAUUUAUUCUUGGUUGAUACAACCACUAAAACAAAACUAUUGGUCAUAUAGCAAGAUGAAUUAUCACAUGGCCUUCAAGCUUCGUAUGUUGCUCUUUGUUUGAAUUUUACUACCUUAGUAACUUGAUUUUAUUUCAUGGCACCUUAUUUUUCUCAUUUCUUUGUUGUUGUAGAUUUUCAAGAUAAAUCGAUGAUCCAUGGCUCAGAAGUCGAUUGCAAGAUCGAGAGGGUGGCUACUACUAGAUAGUUUUAGAUUAGGUUAUUAGAAUGUCAUUCAGGUCAAUGUUUCAAAUAUUAUGUUUUAGAUGGCUGACAUGUUGAUUGCAAGGUUGAGAAUCAGACUACUACUAGGUAGUUUCACAUACUGUAGUCUUUGUAUCAUGUUCUUUGUAAAGCAACCAAGUUGAUUAAUAUAUGUGACCAUUCUAAUUAUUAUGUUUGUCUCUCCUAUACACUAUCAUCAUUGAUAUAAUAAUUUAGAAUUUUGAUAUACAAAAU
rnacentral:lncRNA from 1 species